AACUCCGGGAAACCGGGGCUAAUACCGUAUGUGAUAACAGAGGUAAUGCACUGUUAUUAAAGCCUUCGGGCACUUAAGGAGGGGCUUGCGGCCGAUUAGCUAGUUGGUGGGGUAACGGUUCACCAAGGCAAUGAUCGGUAGCUGGUCUGAGAGGACGGUCAGCCACACUGGGACUGCGACACGGCCCAGACUCCUACGGGAGGCAGCAGCGAGGAAUUUUAGUCAAUGGGCGAAAGCCUGAACUAGCGACGCCGCGUGGGGGAUGAAGGUUUUCGGAUUGUAAACCCCUUUUAUCAGGGAGGAAUAAUGACAGUACCUGAUGAAUAAGCAACGGCUAACUACGUGCCAGCAGCCGCGGUGAUACGUAGGUUGCAAGCGUUAUCCGGAUUUACUGGGCGUAAAGCGGGUGCAGACGGUCUCUCAAGUCGGAUGUAAAAUCUCCCAGCUCAACUGGGAGGCCCCGUUCGAUACUGUGAGGCUAGAGGACAACAGGGGGAGGUAGAAUUCCCGGUGUAGUGGUGGAAUGCGUAGAUAUCGGGAGGAAUACCAGUGGCGAAGGCGGCCUCCUGGGUUGUUUCUGACGUUCAGACCCGAAGGUGUGGGGAGCAAACAGGAUUAGAUACCCUGGUAGUCCACACUGUAAACGAUG
rnacentral:rRNA from 1 species